ensembl:lncRNA
UUUUCUGCUGCUAGAUGCAGAUUAUUUCACAUUAGGGUUUGAUUAGAGAAGCCAACUUCUCUCAGUGAGAGGAUAAAGAAUGAAUGGGAAUUAGAACUUAUCAUUACGGGAGAAUAUUGCCUCAGGUUUUGGAUUUGGUCCGCUGGGCAGGCAGUCAGGAAGGAAAGUGGACAUGAAAUAGGGGUGAAUAAGGACAAACUGGAAUCCAUAAGAACAGACUGGAAUACACACAGUCAAUUGCUACGUACAUUGAUCUCAUACCACCCCCAGCCUUGAUGGUGUGGCUGAUUUGCUGGAAAAAUUGGUGCCUGUCAGCAUAUUGCAGCACACACCUGGCUAAAGAUUCAGAGGAGCUGCACGAGAUUGGCAGGAGCUGGACUAGCUGCAUAUCCCAGGUACUGCCCCUUGUCAGCUAGGUACCAGUAGAUCAGUGGCAAAGUGUGAAGACUGCCAAAGCACCUAACUGCACAUAGAACUGCGGAGGGUAAAAAUGGCUGCAGUUCCAUUUCCACCUUUUAAUUCUCACAUGCAUUUCUCUGUGUGUGGCCAAACGUAGUCAGAACCAUACAGAAGAGAGGGAGAGGCUUUCAGAGAUGAUAAUAAUCCCUCGUAGAGUAUUUUUGUGAAGGUCACGGGUCUUAGUGAAUGUGGUUCAGUGUAGUAGUACAGUGAUUGCCUCUCCCAAAUUUGCCUUGAGCAGAAAGGAACUGAUUCACCCAGGCAAUGUUCUGCUUAAUUUAACUUUUUUAUAGGAAGAGUCAAAAAUGGAAAUAGCAUUAAGAUUACCAACUGUGAAUCUCUUGGUCACUGUGUCUUUGUAUUUUGAUGUGCGUGAAGUGUUUUAAAUAAUUGCACAGACAUCAUUCCCUGUUAAUACAUGAGAUACAUAGGAAGGUGCAUUAACAUUGGCAGCUCACUAGGGGACUAUCACACGUGCUGUUGAGGGAACUUACUGCCAGAGUGUGAUAUAGGCAACAGAGCAAGUAGAACCUUUUAUACAUCUUUACCUACAAGGCCGUCAGACCCUGAAUGCAGUGGGGAACAUCAUUUUAAUAUUCUGACUCGCAAUUGCUCAUAUUCUUUCGUAUUUAAAAGAAAACUGAUAAAUGAGAUGGUGGAGAAAAGUGAUAGUUCUAGAGAACAAAUAUCAUAUGCAGUGGAAAUAGAACAGACAGAUAUAAAGACAUAUUUAGGCAAAGCCUGACGUAUGUCAACACCAAAGUUCUUCCAUAGAACUUAUUUAAAAUAAGAGGUUUUCUAACAUUUGCCUUUUCCCCUGACCUUGCAUUUUAAGCAUUCUAAUAAGGUAUGUGUUCUUUUACUUCUAAAGAUACUUUAUAUAAACUGGAAUUGGAAGGUAACUGGCAAUCAAUUUUUAGCUCUCUCUUAGUUCAAGGGCUCUUUCACUAUUCCAAUUCCUGUGCAGAAGUUCUAAUCCUUCUCUAUGCUGAGAUUAUAAAGGAGAGGAAGUCUGAGAAAGUAUAUUUGAAAAAUUAAGGACUUUUGUAUUUUGUAAAAAUUUGAAGCUUAAAAUUUUUUCAAAGGAAAAAUAUGGGAUUUAUAGGUACUUUAUUAUGUACCAGUACCAAUUACCUAUCAAUUGGGGUGAUGACCUUCCUUCUUUGUGUUCUUAAGAUUCUGAGAGGAGUUUUCUAAGUACAAUAAGUUGAAAAUUCUUUAUUACUUAGCAAUGAUUAAUAUAUAAAAACAUUGUAUUUAUUUUCAAAAAAUUGUCUUUAAAAAACCUAAAAUAUUUUAAAUCAACUUAUUUUGAUUUUUUUUUUUUUUUUUUGGCUUCCUCAUGGCAUAUGAAGUUCCCAGGCCAGGGAUCAAAUCUGUGCUAGAGUUAUGGCCUAAGCCACAGGUGCAACAAUGCAGGAUCCUUAACCUACUGUGAUAGGCCAGGGAUCAAACCUGCAUCCCAGUGCUCCUAAGACACCCCCAAAUCCUGUUGCGCCGCAGCAGGAACACCCAAUAUGCUGCUUUAUUUUUGGGGAUGUUCACGUUAUUAUUUCCAGCAGUGGGACAAGGCCUGUGAUGGAUUAGCUUUCAGUCUUUUUAAUAUUCUCUCUCUCUGUAUCUAUCAGAAGGAAAUGUAUGUAUUGUUCACUUCCAUGAUUUGCUAGUGAACUGUAAUUAUGAGUAACUGAAUGAUAGAAAUGAUAGUAUUAAAUUCAUGAAAAAAAACACCCCUAUACAACCUGUUCCAGAAAGAACUUUAUCCCAAAGCUAUUUAUUCAAUAGAAACUACUUUUAUUUUUUCUGUUUAGCCUGUAUUGAAGAUAUUUUCCUUCAAUAUAAUGCAGAGUUUACCGCUAAAGAAAAGAAAAAAUUUGCAUGCCUGGGAUAAGUCAUACAUCAUAUAUUAGAAUAGAGCAUGUUCAUUCACAUAUAGUAUUUAUAUAGUUAUCUUUAGUGAGAUCAUAGAAAUAAAUGGUUAUUUUGUAAAAGCAUAUCAUUAUGAAUUUGAACUAUUAUGCCUAUGGUAUGUUUUGUCAUAAAACUGGAGAAAAAGCCUCACGGACUUAUGUAAAACUACAGAAACAUUUUUAAAUGAAACAAGACAAUUAGUUUUCAACAUCAACAACAUUUGUCCUCUUAAACCAUUUAUUUCCAUUCAAGAUAUCUCUACAUCCUCUCUGAUGCUUCAGAGUAAGAGAAGGUCUUGCUAUAGGCCAUUACAUUGUCAUGUGCCACAUCUUUAUCAUCUUAAUCAGUUACAAUGUUACAUUUAUUUUAGUGUUUACUUAAUACCAGUGUGUGUAAGUUGACACUAGGUCUGUAAGUGCUGGAAUGACAAAGAUAGUGGCUUUUGGACUCAUGAUUUAGUUCUUUGCUUCUAACCAAUGAGAAACUCAGAAGAACAAUAUAUAGUUAUUCAAUUAUUUAAUGUCACAAUGGUAUUUUUAAUAUAUAGUUUUACUUUUUGACAUUUUAUGCCCUGUUAGAAAUAGUAUCAAAAGGCUCGAAUCAAGGAGGUCUCAUAAACUCAAACCAAUCAGAGUACUUAAAAAUUCAGUUAAGCCAUUUGACGAGUAAAAGUCCAGUACUGUGGAGCCCUGGUGACACAGCGAGAACAAACUACCUUCUAUAGUUCUAAUCUCACCUGUUGACUGUGCCUCAGUCACUUUGGCAAGUCACAGAGCUACACUGGACCUCUGUUUUCUGCAACUUAACCCAGGGAGGCUAGAAUGGAUGAUGAAUUUACAAGCUGAACAUCAAGAGUUUUUUCAACAGUGCCUCAGGAAUCAAGUGUCUGCGUGGGUAGGAAUCCACCUUCUUCCCUUAAACUAGAAGAAUUCCAUUUUUUCUGAGUUGGCUCUCAAAUACCCUGGUUUACUUACUGUAGAGAUAUCUAUGGGUGCCAUUUUUCAGGCUCUGAGAAUGGAUGAGAAUGGUCUGUGUCCACCCUCAUCACCUCAAGUGCCAAGUGUGAUAAAUGUGGCAGAACAGGAUUUUAUUUCUUGCCAUAACUUCUGUUCUAACAAUAAUAAUUGAACACUCACAAUUGAAAUACCCACUUAGAAUGUGUUUGGAUAUUAUGUGAACUACAAUAAAGUGUGAAACUCAUUCUGAAAAGAAUAUUAAAACCAUAUUUUUUAAAUGGAGGGGAGUGUUGAACUAUAAAACUCCUAGGGAAGGGAAAGGGCAAAAGACAGUUCAUUCCUCCUAGACUUACUCAUUUAAAACUUAUUCUAAAAAGGAAUAUAAAGGUUAACAAGUGAUUAUAUAUCAUUUAUACAUAAUCUGGAUAUACAUAUUCAUGCCCUGUUCUUAAUAUUAUGCAUUUCUUUGUAUUAUCCCUUAAGGACAUCAAAUGAUGAACAUUUAAAGUCAUUCUGAUAUUUAAAAUAGGCAGUUUGCGCCUCAUCGAUCUAUACAAGAAGCUAUGUUUCCCUCUCAGAGGUUAAAUGGGAGGUAGUACCCAGGCUCUGAAAUGCUUAUGGGAGGUGUAUGCUACUGUUGAUAAAGAUGAAAGGUUUAGGCUUCUGGGAACAGCAUGCUUCAAAUCCACAUUUGUAAAAGGCAGAGAAAUCUAAUUUUCUGGGCUAUUUUAACUUCCAAUGAGAAGGCCAUAGAUACAAAUGUAUCCAAGGAAAAAAAAAACAGGAAAGAAGGGCCAAACAAAAAACACCGUCCCUCCUUUUUCUCUCUCUGUUAUUUCAGAUAACCUCAACAUGCUUAACAUUUAUGGACAAAAUAUCCCAUGACUACAUUUCUUUGGUCAGAAAGAAAGAUUUAUUUGUAUUGGUUGAAACUAAUCUUUCAAGGGUUAUUAAUAUAUCAUCUGGAGAUAAAUAACUCGGUCAAGAAGGAAUCUAAGCAUAGCGGAAGCUUCGACUCAUGUUUGGAUUCUGACAGUCUUCAUAUUUGCACCCUUUGUAGGUGGGGCGAGAGAGCAAUGUGUAGAGUUCGAUAGGAAUGGUUCUGUAAGGAAAUGAGUCCAAGUUUCUUCAGCCAAGAAUGAAGGAACUGCUAAGGUCUGGGGAACUUAGUGCAGAAAGCAGCAGAGCAGGUCUAGCAGGGCAGAAACAUGAGGUGAGUUCAUUUGGGCAGUUAUAGGAUCACAGUGCAAGAAACUGAGCAGCCAGUAAGAAGCAGCAUGAAUUUUUGAAUAGAGCCUUGGAUUUCUAAAUUAAAGAUACAUUUUAAUCUCUGCUGUUACCUAUUGGAUGUAGAAUCUUGGAAACAUGUUUAACCUCUCUUAGCUGGUUUCAUCACAGGUAAAUAGAGACACAUCACCUACCUCUCCUAGCUAGGGGGAAGGUUCCCUAGGUUAAAGAGCCACAUAUGCUUCCUGAAACUUAUAUUUAUUUAUCGAUACAUAAAACAUUUACAUUUCUCAUCUACUCCAUAGAUGCUGAGAAUCUAAAGGUGAGAUAAUACAAAGUAUCAGUUUCAAUGCGAUUUAAAUUCUAAUAGGGAAAUGAAUAAUAAAUAACCAGAAGGAUAACAUAUCUAUAAUGGCAGGUGCAAUUCAAAUAGGGUGUUUAUAGAAAAGCCUAGGAGGGAAUUAGAGAGGUUAUUUUAUAUUUUAGGGUCAGGAAGAGAAGAUACAAGAUUCUGGGACAAUGAUAAGGAGGGCAUUUGAAUUUGUAUGGGGUGGGAACAGAGCAAAGGUGGAGUGACGAAGAAAAAUUCCAGGUAAGAGCUGAAGAAUGUGUUGGAGAUUCACUGCAAAAUUGUCAUGAAUUUGGAGAAGAGCAACCUAGGCCCCAGCAGAAAAGAAGUUGGAGAACGGAAGCCAGUGCUUAGGUACUGGAGCAGGAGAGAGUUAGGCUCCUUCUCCAAACUGCAGGAAAACUAGUAUGAUUAGGUUAUGGAGAGAGCACAUGAAGGGAAAAUGAAGAAAAGAAUGAGGCUGUGGAUAAAAUCCUGUAGGCAUAUAUACAGACCUGAUAUUUGUUGUGAUAAUAAUGGGAAAUAACAACAGAGCUAUUACACUGUCAGCAUGUAUU